UAGAGUCCUGAUUGCCUCAUCCUCUAAAUUUUACCUAGGAAGCUCUUUUUACAACCUUUCUUGUUCACCUUGGAUAUUCAUAACAUCCUCAUGGACCCAGAAGGGCGAGUGCCACCCCAGCUCAGGACCAGUAUCCCAGUCCUUUCCCAGAAGGGUAUCCUCCUCACUGCACUCACGUGUUUCCUUGGAUGCCUCUGACUUUACACCUGAAUUGAGGCCCAGGGGCUUUGACAAGCAUUUAAGGGCAAGAGGAAGCAGAUGACUACCCACAAAGGAGAUCUGCAUGAAGUGGAGAAGGGCUGCUUGGGUUCCGGGCGUCAACAGGUGGCUGCUGGUGAGGGGGCAUUUUUCUAACUGGGAUUCCCAUUCACGCAAAGCACUGUACCAGAGAAAAGCCUGAACUGAGCCUAAUGCCUGGCCGCCAAGAACAUUCUGUUUAAGAAGCUCUACAGACAGGGACACACGGGCAAAACACAUUUGAUGCACUUUCAGAUGAAGAUUUGUUCAUCCCCCUAGUCUGACUUGAAGCAGCCCGUUUAGAAAUCUGCCCUGUAGUGGACGUGAUCUGAUUUCCUAUUUUCCUGGACAUGAAAUCUUGACUGUAACGGUCUGAAUGUAAUCAGUAGUUUAAAUCUACGUAUUCAUAAUCA